AGUGAACGCUGGCGGUAGGCCUAACACAUGCAAGUCGAACGGCAGCACAGUAAGAGCUUGCUCUUACGGGUGGCGAGUGGCGGACGGGUGAGGAAUACAUCGGAAUCUACUUUUUCGUGGGGGAUAACGUAGGGAAACUUACGCUAAUACCGCAUACGACCUACGGGUGAAAGCAGGGGAGCUUCGGACCUUGCGCGAUUGAAUGAGCCGAUGUCGGAUUAGCUAGUUGGCGGGGUAAAGGCCCACCAAGGCGACGAUCCGUAGCUGGUCUGAGAGGAUGAUCAGCCACACUGGAACUGAGACACGGUCCAGACUACUACGGGAGGCAGCAGUGGGGAAUAUUGGACAACGGGCGCAAGCCUGAUCCAGCCAUCCCGCGUGGGUGAAGACGGCCUUCGGGUUGUAAAGCCCGUUUGUGGGGAAAGAAAAGCAGCAGGUUAAUACCCAGCUGUUCUGACGGUACCUAAAGAAUAAGCACCGGCUAACUUCGUG
rnacentral:rRNA from 1 species